ensembl:lncRNA
GUUUGAAUUAUUUCUCCUUUAUUUUAAAUGCAACAGCAGUUGUGACACCAAACAGCCAUGUGCUCUGCUGGGUGUCCUUGAGCAAGACAUUUUUAAGACAUCAAUCAGCGUCAAACUAUAUCUCGAGUGUCGUUGAAAUACACCGAGUGAGUACUUUCCAGCAGGGUAGCGUGUUAUAGGAAGUAUUUCUCUCAGGUGAAUCCCUCCAACCUCCCCAACAAUAUCACAAAACAGGCGGUUGUAAUGUUAAAACGAACUUAAACCAUUUUCUCACCAUAAUUACAAACCGGAGGGGGAAAAAACAACUGAUAGCGGAGAUGAUUGCCAAACUGGGGCAGGAAUAUUAUAUUUUUGGCAUCUGUGCUGCUGCAGUGGUGGUGACAUGUCAUGCAGAGGAUUUUUAUCAGGCAGGAUUAAAAACAGGAAGGUACAGACAGAGUGAGGUUAAACGGCACAUAAAAUACUUAGAAAAAAGAAUGAUCAGAAAAUGGAUUUAAAAACUUUAUCAAAAAUGACAGAGCAAGUUUCAGUAACUAUAAGAAUGGAGGGAUGGAGCAGCAGACUAACUACUCGACUGACCUGAAAAGUCCUGCUGGCUACUCUAACCACAUGUACCCUCUGACUAGUAUCAGAAGACAUGUUGCUAAAACAGAAUCAUUCAUGUGUGAUUUUAUGUACUGACUUAUACAGGCUAACUACGAUAGCUGACUGACAGUGUCAUGGGUUGUAUCCACUCCUUCCUAUAUGCCAUUGCUUUUAGAGUCCUUAAAAAUGCCUCUUAGCACCAGAGAAGUGUAUUUUUUUAACAGGGUGCUCUUUCCUCGUGUCAGGCAGUGCUGAAAAAUAUCCACAAUGAUUUCCCACAGAUCAAAAAAUAUUAUUUUAACCAAACGUUAACCCUAAAUGUUUAACAACAUGUGGGUGGGAUCCUGCAACCAGUGAAUCUUGUAGGUAAACAGUUCACAGAGCUGUCACCUUAAUCUGAUAGAUAUUUCAACUCCAAAGGUUAACAUCAGGGUAAGAUGUGGAUGUUUCAGAGCUCAGUGUGAACAGUGUUACUGUUUAAACAGGGCUCAAAAUGCUUGCAGUUGACUGAAGCCCCAUCCACUCUUAAAAACAAACAAAAAAACACCACCAGGGGGUGCAAAAGUAAUAGAAAAGUGAAAUUGUGCAUUUAAUGGCUCUAUGAGUUAAUUGCACCUGAACCUGUCCUAAUAGAAGCUGUUGUUAUUUUCAAAAGCAUGUUCCAGUAAUGGGACAUUAAGGCCAACAGAGCUAUGCUACUCUCGGUCAUCCUAUCUAGUUGUUGCCCCCAUAAAAGCUCGUCCUACGGUUUUUCCAGAUGAGUGUUUUUUGGCUACAUCGUCACACAACGAUGCUAGAGAGUAUGUCACAGAUCAUAUGACUCCCGGCUUUAGGGUGGUCAGGGUGUGAUGUAAACACAAUGCUUUUAACAGUUUGAGAAUGUUGCUUUUCAGGCACUUGUUCCCAGCAUAUCCUUUAGUGUUUAAUUACUUCAGUGGUAACACACUUUCACUAACUAACAAAGUGACUGAAUAAUAGUUAAAACAACACACACUCCAACAGUCUUCUUUCAUUGCUAUUAGGCUUGGGCAGUAUUUUUCUCAUAUUUUACCAGGUUAUUUCAUGUUAGGAGUUUUUUCUAUGUACAAAAACUUUGUCUGCAUCUCCGCCCCUACCCUGACCCCAGCUUGCACAGUGGGAAAGUAUCUUGUAAAUUUCACUCAGACAUGGAAGGCUAGCAUCACCUAGUGCUAGCACAUCAAACAUUAGCCACACGCUGGGUGGUUUUCUUACUUUGAGAUUGCUGCAUCAGUCUACAUUUUAAUUUCCAUUUAACCCCCCAACAACACUACAUUCUUCCACAUAUUGCUGCUAACACACCCACUGACCACUCUAGAUCAA